GCAUAAUCACUUGCCCCCUAAUUAGGGGCUAGCAUGAAUGGACAAACGAGAUUAUAGCUGUCUCCUCUACACCCAUAAAAAUUAAUCUACAGGUGAAGAAGCCUGUAUCCAUAUAAAAGACAAGAAGACCCUGUCGAGCUUUAAUUAUUUUUAAAAUAUAGUAACCCUACUCAAUACUCCCUUUUAUAAAUAACUUUUGUUGGGGCGACAAUGGAAUAAAUAAAACCUCCACCAUACUCAAAACACCAAGUUUCUCAAAAGAUCCUCUACAGAUACCAGGCAUCAGCUACCGCAGGGAUAACAGACUAAUCUUCCUUAAGAGCCCAAAUCUACAGGAAGGCUUGG
rnacentral:rRNA from 1 species